rnacentral:rRNA from 1 species
UCAGGACGAACGCUGGCGGCGUGCCUAAUACAUGCAAGUCGAGCGGACAGAUGGGAGCUUGCUCCCUGAUGUUAGCGGCGGACGGGUGAGUAACACGUGGGUAACCUGCCUGUAAGACUGGGAUAACUCCGGGAAACCGGGGCUAAUACCGGAUGGUUGUUUGAACCGCAUGGUUCAAACAUAAAAGGUGGCUUCGGCUACCACUUACAGAUGGACCCGCGGCGCAUUAGCUAGUUGGUGAGGUAACGGCUCACCAAGGCAACGAUGCGUAGCCGACCUGAGAGGGUGAUCGGCCACACUGGGACUGAGACACGGCCCAGACUCCUACGGGAGGCAGCAGUAGGGAAUCUUCCGCAAUGGACGAAAGUCUGACGGAGCAACGCCGCGUGAGUGAUGAAGGUUUUCGGAUCGUAAAGCUCUGUUGUUAGGGAAGAACAAGUACCGUUCGAAUAGGGCGGUACCUUGACGGUACCUAACCAGAAAGCCACGGCUAACUACGUGCCAGCAGCCGCGGUAAUACGUAGGUGGCAAGCGUUGUCCGGAAUUAUUGGGCGUAAAGGGCUCGCAGGCGGUUUCUUAAGUCUGAUGUGAAAGCCCCCGGCUCAACCGGGGAGGGUCAUUGGAAACUGGGGAACUUGAGUGCAGAAGAGGAGAGUGGAAUUCCACGUGUAGCGGUGAAAUGCGUAGAGAUGUGGAGGAACACCAGUGGCGAAGGCGACUCUCUGGUCUGUAACUGACGCUGAGGAGCGAAAGCGUGGGGAGCGAACAGGAUUAGAUACCCUGGUAGUCCACGCCGUAAACGAUGAGUGCUAAGUGUUAGGGGGUUUCCGCCCCUUAGUGCUGCAGCUAACGCAUAAGCA